UACGAAGGGGGCUAGCGUUGCUCGGAAUUACUGGGCGUAAAGGGCGCGUAGGCGGCGCGGUUAGUCAGGCGUGAAAUUCCUGGGCUCAACCUGGGGACUGCGCUUGAUACGGCUGUGCUAGAGGAUGGAAGAGGCUCGCGGAAUUCCCAGUGUAGAGGUGAAAUUCGUAGAUAUUGGGAAGAACACCGGUGGCGAAGGCGGCGAGCUGGUCCAUUACUGACGCUGAGGCGCGACAGCGUGGGGAGCAAACAGG
rnacentral:rRNA from 1 species